rnacentral:ncRNA from 2 species
AAUUUAUCAAGAGCGCGGGGAGAGUUUUGGCUCAAUGAACCGCCAGCAGCCUAUUAACAAAAGGUGUUAAUGUGGUGCUAAAUCCAUCCUCGUCCUCCGAAGCUUCGUGCGAAGGAAGACCGAACGGGGAAAGAUAAAAU